GGCAGCGCGGACUUCGGUCUGGCGGCGAGUGGCGAACGGGUGAGUAAUACAUCGGAACGUGUCCUGGAGUGGGGGAUAGCCCGGCGAAAGCCGGAUUAAUACCGCAUACGCUCUGUGGAGGAAAGCGGGGGAUCUUCGGACCUCGCGCUCAAGGGGCGGCCGAUGGCAGAUUAGCUAGUUGGUGGGGUAAAGGCCUACCAAGGCGACGAUCUGUAGCUGGUCUGAGAGGACGACCAGCCACACUGGGACUGAGACACGGCCCAGACUCCUACGGGAGGCAGCAGUGGGGAAUUUUGGACAAUGGGCGAAAGCCUGAUCCAGCAAUGCCGCGUGUGUGAAGAAGGCCUUCGGGUUGUAAAGCACUUUUGUCCGGAAAGAAAACCUCGUGGCUAAUAUCCGUGAGGGAUGACGGUACCGGAAGAAUAAGCACCGGCUAACUACGUGCCANCAGCCGCGGUAAUACGUAGGGUGCGAGCGUUAAUCGGAAUUACUGGGCGUAAAGCGUGCGCAGGCGGU
rnacentral:rRNA from 1 species